UACGUAGGGGGCAAGCGUUGUCCGGAAUCAUUGGGCGUAAAGCGCGUGUAGGCGGCCAGAUAAGUCCGCUGUGAAAUCUCGAGGCUCAACUUCGAGCUGUCGGUGGAAACUGUCUGGCUAGAGUCCGGAAGAGGAGAAUGGAAUUCCUGGUGUAGCGGUGAAAUGCGCAGAUAUCGAGAGGAACACCUGCGGCGAAGGCGGGUUGCUGGGCUGACACUGACGCUGAGGCGCGAAAGCUAGGGGAGCGAACGGG
rnacentral:rRNA from 1 species